rnacentral:lncRNA from 1 species
GCUUUAAAUGUCUCCAUCAUAACUUUUUUGAAAACUCUAAAAAGAGAAUCAGGUCUGGAUAAACCAAUUCAAUCUGAAUAUAAUUCAGGUUUUGGUUAUCUUCUGAUGCUGAUUUUCAAACAUCGUCUUAAGAUCAUCUCUAGUUUUACAAAGUUAAUGGCUUCCCAUGAGUAAUGAGAACUAGCGAACGUUAAUAUUUUAUUUUACAUGAUCUAUCAGUUUACAAAUUCAAAACAGACAACUUAUAUUUAAUAGUAACCAUGGAAGAUAAUAUAUAUCACUACCAUAAUUAUUUAUUUGUUGAUCUACUAAUAAUAAUCACUUCAUGAAACCUUGAGCCAUCUUA